rnacentral:rRNA from 1 species
CAGGGAUUGCCCUAGUAACUGGCGAGUGAAGCGGCAACAGCUCAAAUUUGAAAUCUGGCGUCUUUGGSGUCCGAGUUGUAAUUUGCAGAGGGCGCUUUGGCAUUGGCAGCGGUCCAAGUUCCUUGGAACAGGACGUCACAGAGGGUGAGAAUCCCGUACGUGGUCGCUAGCCUUUACCGUGUAAAGCCCCUUCGACGAGUCGAGUUGUUUGGGAAUGCAGCUCUAAAUGGGAGGUAAAUUUCUUCUAAAGCUAAAUACUGGCCAGAGACCGAUAGCGCACAAGUAGAGUGAUCGAAAGAUGAAAAGCACUUUGGAAAGAGAGUUAAAAAGCACGUGAAAUUGUUGAAAGGGAAGCGCUUGCAGCCAGACUUGCCUGUAGUUGCUCAUCCGGGUUUUUACCCGGUGCACUCUUCUAUAGGCAGGCCAGCAUCAGUUUGGGCGGUUGGAUAAAGGUCUCUGUCACGUACCUCCUCUCGGGGAGAACUUAUAGGGGAGACGAAAUGCAACCAGCCUGGACUGAGGUCCGCGCAUCUGCUAGGAUGCUGGCGUAAUGGCUGUAAGCGGCCCGUCUUGAAACACGGACCAAGGAGUCUAACAUCUAUGCGAGUGUUUGGGUGUCAAGCCCGAGCGCGUAAUGAAAGUGAACGGAGGUGGGAACCUUUCGGGGUGCACCAUCGACCGAUCCUGAUGUCUUCGGAUGGAUUUGAGUAAGAGCAUAGCUGUUGGGACCCGAAAGAUGGUGAACUAUGCUUGAAUAGGGUGAAGCCAGAGGAAACUCUGGUGGAGGCUCGCAGCGGUUCUGACGUGCAAAUCGAUCGUCAAAUUUGGGCAUAGGGGCGAAAGACUAAUCGA